rnacentral:rRNA from 1 species
GUGGGGAAUAUUGGACAAUGGGCGAAAGCCUGAUCCAGCCAUGCCGCGUGUGUGAAGAAGGUCUUCGGAUUGUAAAGCACUUUAAGUUGGGAGGAAGGGCAGUAAGCUAAUACCUUGCUGUUUUGACGUUACCGACAGAAUAAGCACCGGCUAACUUCGUGCCAGCAGACGCGGUAAUACGAAGGGUGCAAGCGUUAAUCGGAAUUACUGGGCGUAAAGCGCGCGUAGGUGGUUUUGUAAGUUGGAGGUGAAAUCCCCGGGCUCAACCUGGGAAGUGCCUCCAAAACUGCAUGACUAGAGUACGGUAGAGGGUAGUGGAAUUUCCUGUGUAGCGGUGAAAUGCGUAGAUAUAGGAAGGAACACCAGUGGCGAAGGCGACUACCUGGACUGAUACAGACACUGAGGUGCGAAAGCGUGGGGAGCAAACAGGAUUAGAUACCCUAGUAGUCC